rnacentral:rRNA from 1 species
GAUGAACGCUGGCGGCGUGCCUAAUACAUGCAAGUCGAGCGAACAGACGAGGAGCUUGCUCCUCUGACGUUAGCGGCGGACGGGUGAGUAACACGUGGAUAACCUACCUAUAAGACUGGGAUAACUUCGGGAAACCGGAGCUAAUACCGGAUAAUAUAUUGAACCGCAUGGUUCAAUAGUGAAAGACGGUUUUGCUGUCACUUAUAGAUGGAUCCGCGCCGCAUUAGCUAGUUGGUAAGGUAACGGCUUACCAGGGCGACGAUGCGUAGCCGACCUGAGAGGGUGAUCGGCCACACUGGAGCUGAGACACGGUCCAGCCUCCUACGGGCGGCAACAGUAGGGAAUCUUCCGCAAUGGGCGGAAGCCUGACGGAGCAACGCCGCGUGAGUGAUGAAGGUCUUCGGAUCGUAAAACUCUGUCAUUAGGGAAGAACAAAUGUGUAAGUAACUAUGCACGUCUUGACGGUACCUAAUCAGAAAGCCACGGCUAACUACGUG